UUAGCAUUGAAACAUGACAGAAAAAGGUCCAGCUGUUCUAAAGGUUAUUCAAGUAACAUAAAGACAUUCAGAAGAUUUUACAUUCAAGACCUGUCAUACUUACAGGAACUCGGGGACAAUAGUUGGGAAGCUCAGCAUAAAGUAACACCAAUGGCCUAACAUUCUGGGUCAGGAUUGUGCUAAAAAAAAUAGGUACAAUGUAUCAUACAGGUUGGACUGUCCCUGGCUAAGUGUUGGAAAAAUGACCUCAAGCAACAGCGCCACCAGGAUUUAUCAUCACUUGACUAAGAUCUAAUAAAAUUUCAA